UGUGUGUGUGUACGUUAUUGAUUAGUCUCUAACAGUAUUUAGAUGAUUGAUGAGGGAACCUUCACAGAAAUAUGCAUCCAUUUACACUCUCAGAGUUACAGAUUGACCGAGUGUUCGCUGUGUCUCCUCUCUAAUUGGUUUUAGGUAAUACGUCAUGUAUAAGUGUGUGGAUGCUGCUGACCUUUGACCUCUGACCAGUGAGGGAGAACACCAGCAGCAGAGAGGAGAGGAAGUGAAGGUCUGCAUUUGUUCCACAGAACCAUCUGUAUUGUGAUUUUUAAAUAUUGUGAUGAAUUAUUGUGAUGUAUUGUGAUUGUUGUUAUCUUGUUUACCUCUAGACCAUGAAGGGAACAAGAUGAAUCAUUCACUUCUAGAGUCUUUUACUUUGAAAAUCUCUAAAUGAAUCCAGUAAAAAUGUUUGAUUUUCAGCAUGUAUGUAAAACAUUUGUUGGACUUUUUCCAGACUUCUUUUUUUUUACAUUUUUCGGACAUGUCAGAAUAGUAUUAUAAAGUGUUGCUGUUUAGGUAAAUAAAGUUCCUGCUACCUUUCGUCAGAGCCGUUAUUCUACUGUCAGCAUGUAGAGUUGUGUGAAACAGACUCUGGAUCAGCUGUUGUUAUUGACUUCUGUCUUGUUUAAGGUUUCAUAUGAUAUCUGUAGCUUCACUCUGCUCGCCUGUUAGAGCCUCUGAAAGACUGUACAGUCAGUCGGGAUGGGGGGGGGCUCAGGGGGUUAAUCAUUUAGCACCGGGUUUCGGUUCCCUUCCCCUAACUACCAGGCCCGGUUUAUAGAAAAUGUCGAUAAGAAAGCAGAAAGAACACAAAGAGCUAAAAUCAGUUAAUAUAAAGAAGAGGAAGCGCUGAGCGGUGGACUUUCUAUCAGAGGAUCAAAUAACGGCGGUCGCGUGUUCUAAGUGUGUGUGGACUUACAUUCCAC